rnacentral:lncRNA from 1 species
CUCAGUUAGCAGUGCUCCUAUUGGCAAAAUUCCACUCGUCACAAAAGGAGGGUUUAGAUCAGGAAAUAAGUGAGAGAGAAAAAUGAGGAGGCCAGGGGGACCUUAUCUCUUUUUUCAUCGAGAACAUUUUCAGAUGGGUACUUAUUAACCCCACGGAAAGAAGCCCUGCACUCAUAGCUCAUGGGAAGACUUGCUUCCUAGCCUCAGACAACAUGGAAACGUAGAUUGGAAUGUAAGGUGAGAUGGAAAAGGAGCACUGUACACCAAUUGUCCUAGGUUCUUGGAAAGCUUAGACCACAUCUGGAGCCUCCAGUCCUCUACCUCCAUCGUAGAAGGUAGCAGAUGCAUCCUAGAAGAAGCCUGGACAGAACAGAGGCCAACUCAUUUCUAAGAUGCAGGUUAUUCUUGAAAUCCAAGAGCUGCAAAACAAAGAUGGGGUAUACACUGUAAAUUAGGGGGGCGCCUAUGUGAUGACUCACAGUCCCAGAAGAGGUCUGAGUUUGCAAAUCUCUGAGGAGAUGUUCCCAAAGUCUUGACAGAUCUAUGUUAAAGCAGAAACAAGGACAUCAUAUUCUCCAAUAUCACUGUGAUUCAAAUAUGAAUAGUGACCUGAAUGCCAGAAAUGUUAGCCAAGAAAUGGGAAAAGGAAUGAGCAGACCAGAGAUUUGGGUCUGCUGAGAAGACCGUGAACCCAAUGACUUGGAACAAGGACAAUUGUGGAAAGCCUGAAAUUCCAAGAGAAAAGGAGGAAUCUCUGGCCUCCACACUGGGCCUUUCUUGGUAUCCCCUGCUCCGUUUCCUGCCUUCUGUGUGGCAGGAUCUAAGUCUUGGAAUCAUCUGAUGUGUUGAGGAAAGGAGAGCAUUGGGAAGAACUUCCAUCCUGACUCUGUUACUAAUUGUACUGUCUGACCUUGGCACAUCAUUUUCCCUCUCUGGAUCUCAGUUUUUCCACUUAGAUAUGGCAUUAGAGUUGACAUUUGUUACAGGCUGAAUUGUAUCCCCCCCAAAUUCAUAUGUUGAAGUCUGACUCUCUCAAACUGUAACUGUGUCUGGAGAUGGGAUCUUUAAACAGGUGAUUCAGUUAAAAUAAGGAUGUUAGCAUGGGGCUCUAAUCCAACAUGACUGAUGUCCUUACCAGAAGAGAGACGCACCAGGGAUACAUGUGCACAGAGGGAAGACCAUGUUAGGACCAAGCAAGAGGGUGGCCAUCUGCAAGCCAAGGAGAGAGGCCUUGGAGGAAACCAAUCCUGCCCCCACCUUGAUCUUGCACUUUCAGCCUCCAGAACGGUGAGAAAUAAAUUUCCAUUGUUAACG